rnacentral:rRNA from 1 species
GGGUUGUGAGGUUAAGCGACUAAGCGUACACGGUGGAUGCCCUGGCAGUCAGAGGCGAUGAAGGACGUGCUAAUCUGCGAAAAGCGCCGGCGAGGUGAUAUGAACCUUUGACCCGGCGAUGUCCGAAUGGGGAAACCCAGUGCAAUUCGUUGCACUAUCGUUAACUGAAUACAUAGGUUAACGAGGCGAACCGGGGGAACUGAAACAUCUAAGUACCCCGAGGAAAAGAAAUCAACCGAGAUUCCCCCAGUAGCGGCGAGCGAACGGGGAGGAGCCCAGAGUCUGAAUCAGUUUGUGUGUUAGUGGAACGGUCUGGAAAGUCCGGCGAUACAGGGUGACAGCCCCGUACACGAAAGCACACAGGCUGUGAACUCGAAGAGUAGGGCGGGACACGUGGUAUCCUGUCUGAAUAUGGGGGGACCAUCCUCCAAGGCUAAAUACUCCUGACUGACCGAUAGUGAACCAGUACCGUGAGGGAAAGGCGAAAAGAACCCCGGCGAGGGGAGUGAAAAAGAACCUGAAACCGUGUACGUACAAGCAGUGGGAGCAUCCUUCGGGGUGUGACUGCGUACCUUUUGUAUAAUGGGUCAGCGACUUAUAUUCUGUAGCAAGGUUAACCGAAUAGGGGAGCCGAAGGGAAACCGAGUCUUAACUGGGCGUUAAGUUGCAGGGUAUAGACCCGAAACCCGGUGAUCUAGCCAUGGGCAGGUUGAAGGUUGGGUAACACUAACUGGAGGACCGAACCGACUAAUGUUGAAAAAUUAGCGGAUGACCUGUGGCUGGGGGUGAAAGGCCAAUCAAACCGGGAGAUAGCUGGUUCUCCCCGAAAGCUAUUUAGGUAGCGCCUCGUGAACUCAUCUUCGGGGGUAGAGCACUGUUUCGGCUAGGGGGUCAUCCCGACUUACCAACCCGAUGCAAACUGCGAAUACCGAAGAAUGUUAUCACGGGAGACACACGGCGGGUGCUAACGUCCGUCGUGAAGAGGGAAACAACCCAGACCGCCAGCUAAGGUCCCAAAGUCAUGGUUAAGUGGGAAACGAUGUGGGAAGGCCCAGACAGCCAGGAUGUUGGCUUAGAAGCAGCCAUCAUUUAAAGAAAGCGUAAUAGCUCACUGGUCGAGUCGGCCUGCGCGGAAGAUGUAACGGGGCUAAACCAUGCACCGAAGCUGCGGCAGCGACACUGUGUGUUGUUGGGUAGGGGAGCGUUCUGUAAGCCGUUGAAGGUGUGCUGUGAGGCAUGCUGGAGGUAUCAGAAGUGCGAAUGCUGACAUAAGUAACGAUAAAGCGGGUGAAAAGCCCGCUCGCCGGAAGACCAAGGGUUCCUGUCCAACGUUAAUCGGGGCAGGGUGAGUCGACCCCUAAGGCGAGGCCGAAAGGCGUAGUCGAUGGGAAACAGGUUAAUAUUCCUGUACUUGGUGUUACUGCGAAGGGGGGACGGAGAAGGCUAUGUUAGCCGGGCGACGGUUGUCCCGGUUUAAGCAUGUAGGCGGAGGUUCCAGGUAAAUCCGGUACCUUUUAACGCUGAGGUGUGAUGACGAGGCACUACGGUGCUGAAGUAACAAAUGCCCUGCUUCCAGGAAAAGCCUCUAAGCAUCAGGUAACACGAAAUCGUACCCCAAACCGACACAGGUGGUCAGGUAGAGAAUACCAAGGCGCUUGAGAGAACUCGGGUGAAGGAACUAGGCAAAAUGGUGCCGUAACUUCGGGAGAAGGCACGCUGACAUGUAGGUGAAGCCCCUGCGGGUGGAGCUGAAGUCAGUCGAAGAUACCAGCUGGCUGCAACUGUUUAUUAAAAACACAGCACUGUGCAAACACGAAAGUGGACGUAUACGGUGUGACGCCUGCCCGGUGCCGGAAGGUUAAUUGAUGGGGUUAUCCUUAGGGAGAAGCUCUUGAUCGAAGCCCCGGUAAACGGCGGCCGUAACUAUAACGGUCCUAAGGUAGCGAAAUUCCUUGUCGGGUAAGUUCCGACCUGCACGAAUGGCGUAAUGAUGGCCAGGCUGUCUCCACCCGAGACUCAGUGAAAUUGAACUCGCUGUGAAGAUGCAGUGUACCCGCGGCAAGACGGAAAGACCCCGUGAACCUUUACUAUAGCUUGACACUGAACAUUGAGCCUUGAUGUGUAGGAUAGGUGGGAGGCUUUGAAGCGUGGACGCCAGUCUGCGUGGAGCCAACCUUGAAAUACCACCCUUUAAUGUUUGAUGUUCUAACCUGGCGCCGUAAUCCGGCGUGGGGACAGUGUCUGGUGGGUAGUUUGACUGGGGCGGUCUCCUCCUAAAGAGUAACGGAGGAGCACGAAGGUUGGCUAAUCCUGGUCGGACAUCAGGAGGUUAGUGCAAUGGCAUAAGCCAGCUUGACUGCGAGCGUGACGGCGCGAGCAGGUGCGAAAGCAGGUCAUAGUGAUCCGGUGGUUCUGAAUGGAAGGGCCAUCGCUCAACGGAUAAAAGGUACUCCGGGGAUAACAGGCUGAUACCGCCCAAGAGUUCAUAUCGACGGCGGUGUUUGGCACCUCGAUGUCGGCUCAUCACAUCCUGGGGCUGAAGUAGGUCCCAAGGGUAUGGCUGUUCGCCAUUUAAAGUGGUACGCGAGCUGGGUUUAGAACGUCGUGAGACAGUUCGGUCCCUAUCUGCCGUGGGCGCUGGAGAAUUGAGGGGGGCUGCUCCUAGUACGAGAGGACCGGAGUGGACGCAUCACUGGUGUUCGGGUUGUCAUGCCAAUGGCAUUGCCCGGUAGCUACAUGCGGAAGAGAUAAGUGCUGAAAGCAUCUAAGCACGAAACUUGCCCCGAGAUGAGUUCUCCCUGAGACCCAGAGUCUCCUGAAGGAACGUUAAAGACUAUGACGUUGAUAGGCCGGGUGUGUAAGCGCAGCGAUGCGUUGAGCUAACCGGUACUAAUGAACCGUGAGGCUUAACCUUACAACGCCGAAG